rnacentral:lncRNA from 10 species
GAGCCAGCCACCUUGGAGUCUCCAGUUCACUGAAACCUGUCACUGCCACCCAGUGGCCACCAUGACAAGGAAGCCAUCAUUCUGUAGAAGGCAGUGACGGAACAGUACCAGCAGAAAUUGAAGGACCAGCAGAAGGGAUCAUGGCCAAAGUUGCAGUGUCCCCCCGCUCGUUGAAGAUGAGGAGUUCUCAGAGAGCGGGAUGUUUGUGACAUUCCUCAUGUCAGCUCUCGAGUCCAUGACUCUCACUCGGUCGUCCAGGCUGGAGUGCAGUGGCACCAUCUUGGCUCAUUGCAACAUCUGGCUCCCAGGUUCAAUCGAUUCUUCUGCCUCAGCCUUCUGAGUAGCUGGAAUUAACAGGUGUAUGCCAACUUAUCUGGCUAAUUUUGUUGUGUAUUUUUCUUUCAGUACAGACUGGGUUUCACCAUGUUGGCCAUGCUGGUCUUGAGCUCCUCACCUCAGGUGAUCCACAUGCCUCAGCCUCCUAAAGUGCUGGGAUUAUAGGCGUCAGCCACCGCUUCUGGCCUAGAUCAUUAACAUAUCACUAUGAUACUAAAAUUCCCUCUGCCAAAGAAAAUCUUGCCAUUUUGUGACAUGAGUUGUAUAAAGAUGUAUGUUUAUAUGCACUGAACCUGUGCACCUAGAGUUCCACCCUGCUCAUGCUAACGUUGUUCUCCCUCCCCGUACCUAGUUCUUAAAAACUCCAUGCCUUCCAUUUUUCAGGGAAAGGGUGUCUUUAGAGCAAGAACUCUUUUCUUCUCCAUCCCAGGCAGGGAAAAAACCCAC